ensembl:lincRNA RIKEN cDNA 2700046G09 gene
CGGGGUGCGGGUCGCCAGCAGAUCUCCAGCUCGGGCAGUGGAACCCGGUACCAGGACGGUGAUCGCGCGGCAGAGACAGCAGCCUCCAGUAGCUCCGGCCUUCUGGGCCGACCGCUCGUACCACCGUGGCAUGGGUCGCCCGGGACGCGCUACCUGCAGGGGGCGGAAGUUGGGAAGAGGAGUUCCCGUUCCUAAGGCGCUGGCAUCGCUCCUCCUGCUGCUUCCCUGUUCUGACCCAUUCCCGGCGACGGAGGAUGAAGGUGGCGAAAGAUGUUUGGACAGCCGUCGCUCUCCUCCAUGCUUUUCUCCUGCUGCUGGUUAGCUUGGAUGGUGAUGGUGUCACCUGGGGUCCUGGAAUCUCUGGGCCCGCAUCCUCACUACCCGAGAAUGCGUUAGAACGGCACAUUCACGACCACACCUAAACCUACGGAAUCAGAAACGCCACUAGUGGGGUCCUUCCUGAAACCUGGUUAACAAGCUCCCAAGGUGAAUCUGAUGGCCGCUUUCCCUAAGCUGUAGAGACCCCUUUUCGUGUAUGGCGCUGAAAAUUUAGCGUCCUCUGUCCCCAAAUACAGUGAAAAAUCGGAUUUAAAAUGUGUCUGCUCCUGUGUGAGCUCUUAAAGGUCUUGUCCUCUCCUGCUCCUCUGGCCUCUUCACCUUAGGACACUAUGCUAUCGCACUUCUCAGGGAGAUAAGAAAGGGUGGCCUGACACAUACUGCUUUUAAGUGACAACCGACUAACCUGCUCUAUUUGAGUGUCAACCAAGAGCAAGGGAGUGGCUGAAAUUAUAGUAGCCCCGCUGGUUAUUUUCAUCAGUUUGCACCUAAGAGGGAAAAAAAAAAAAAAAAAAGGAGGCUUGCUGUCUUGAAGUAAGUACUGGACAGCCUCUGGCUGUUUGCUGUGUUACUUUGCAUUUGCCGUAACCAAGGUCAAAGCAAGCGAGCUGCUGCCUGGCAGGUCAAGGAAUCCAGACUUUAAAAUUCUCCCUCCCCACCCCACACACACUUGUUACAAGUGUCCCAGGCAUUAGGGUUAGUUUAGGUUUUUUUCCCCUCCUCCCCGCCCCCCCCCCGUAUCUUUGAAAUGUUUUAUAGGAAAAAGAAAACAUUUUUCUAUGAAAGUUUUAGAAGUAAUUCAUAAUGCAUGAAAAGGGCAGAGUAUACAAGUAUUUUAUACUCCAAAUUUCACUCCAAUUUCAGAAAGUGGUUCUUAGAAAAAGCACACAUAAAUAUACAUAACAGAGCUUUAAGUAAAUACAGGGAUGGCAAUCGAAAGAGAAAUCCUCGCCUUGAAAGUAACGUGGAUGGCGUGGUCAUAAGAGAUGCUUCAGAGUUGACAUACUGUACAAAAAAUAAUAAUAAUAAUCAAGAUAAAAUGUUCCUUUUCUAGUCCACUCAACCAUGAAGAACCUUGACAGGAGGCUGGAGAGGUAGCUCAGCAGUUAAGAGUACUUGCUGUUCUUGAAGAGAACCCUAGUUCAAUUCCCAGCACCCCACUUUGCCAUUGACAACCAUCUGAAACUCCACUUCUUUGGGAUCCGAUGCCUUCUCUGGCUGCAGAGAACACCAGGCAUGCAAGAGUUACACCUUCUUAUGCAGGCGGGCAUAGCAUCAUAUAUGAAGUAAUAAAUGACUUUAAGAAACA